rnacentral:rRNA from 1 species
GGUAAUGCCGGAUGCUCCAGUUGGAUGCAUGUCCUUCUGGGAAAGAUUCUAUCGGUAUGGGAUGGGGUCGCGUCCUAUCAGCUUGAUGGCGGGGUAACGGCCCACCAUGGCUUCGACGGGUAGCCGGCCUGAGAGGGCGACCGGCCACAUUGGGACUGAGAUACGGCCCAGACUCCUACGGGAGGCAGCAGUGGGGAAUAUUGCACAAUGGGCGCAAGCCUGAUGCAGCGACGCCGCGUGCGGGAUGACGGCCUUCGGGUUGUAAACCGCUUUUGACUGGGAGCAAGCCCUUCGGGGUGAGUGUACCUUUCGAAUAAGCACCGGCUAACUACGUGCCAGCAGCCGCGGUAAUACGUAGGGUGCAAGCGUUAUCCGGAAUUAUUGGGCGUAAAGGGCUCGUAGGCGGUUCGUCGCGUCCGGUGUGAAAGUCCAUCGCUUAACGGUGGAUCCGCGCCGGGUACGGGCGGGCUUGAGUGCGGUAGGGGAGACUGGAAUUCCCGGUGUAACGGUGGAAUGUGUAGAUA